GAAAGCCAAAUGGAGGUUUAAAAGUCCUUUCCAUUUCCCUACCAAAACAAAAGCAACAAAAAAGAAAAUUAAAAAUCCUCAUUCUCUGGAAAUGCUUGAAGAAGGGAAAAAAUAAAUUGGAGAUACAAUGAUUGGCAAAAAUGACAUCUUUAUUUAUUUUUAAUAAAAGAUAAAUGUAAUGUAGAGCCAUGGCCUUAUUCUUCUAAACUUCUGUGGGACUUACACAGUUUAUUAUGUAAGUCUCUGUAAUUCAAGUUACCCGGAAAGUUCAAUUUCAUGUGUGAUUAUUAUUGCCUAUUGAAAGUGCAUCUGAUUUGUUAUAACAGGAACCCUGUAGGGGAAAUAAUUGUAUGUUGUUAGCAAUGAAUAUAUGUAAACCUUUAAAAAUGAAUUAAUGUUUUUGAUAUAGCAUGUUUAAUUCAAGCUAGUCUGUGUUCAAUUAUUGGAAGCAGGGAGUGAACGCUCUAAGAAAUAAAAUAACCUAGGGUGAAACACCUUAUUUUAUGAAAAACUAAUUUUUAGGAGCAUUUUCUUUUAUACUAUGUAAAAAAAUCCCUGAAAGAUGAACAGACUUUGACAGCUGUUAUAGGUGAGAGCCUCAAGUAAAGAUAAAAUUAAAUGUUUUCCUUAAAUGCUAUUGCCCAAAUAAUGAAUAUCCAUAAUUGAAAACUGAGAUUACCUUAUACUUUGCUUUGUUCUCUCUGCCAGAGUCCUACCCACUGUAUUAGUUGUUAGAGUUGUGGAACUUAACCGAAGCUUUCUCUGGAUUCCAGAUGUUUUAAGAAUAUUUUCAGCUGCAUGGCUUGACAGCCUUGGGAUUCCCUCACACAUUCACAGUCUUUUUUGGAUCAGUCUGAUGUGAGCAUGAAAACUGGGAGUUGUGGAGCCCACUUAGGAAAUGAUUGCAAUUGUCCAGGAGACAGAUGAUGGUAAUUAAGUUUCCAUCAGCCUGGAACUCAGGACAGAAGAUACAUAUUCUGUAUGUAGAGAAUCACUGGAGGUCAAAUGUCUUUGCCAAUUUGAGUUUUUCCACUUGAACAAGAAAAGACUGUCAAGGGAAAGCCAAUCAAUUUCACAAUGUUUAGAUGCUGAAGAUACAGGGCACAGCUUCCUUCUUGAAUUGCUUGUUGUUUACCUAGUUGACAAUCUACUGGGAAAAAGAAAUUCCUUUUCCAGAAAAGGUUUUCACCAAUUUCAAGGAAUCCUUUAAUGAAAAGAUAAUCCAGUUACUUAGGACAAAAUGUAUUUGUUGAUUGGAUUAAUAUAUGUUGAGAAUAGACUAUAUGCUA
rnacentral:lncRNA from 10 species